rnacentral:lncRNA from 1 species
UGGAAAAACCAACAAUUUAACUUGAUAACCAACAGUCUAGGGAGAAUAGUUAGGUUUUGGGAUGAUGGUUUUGAUGGUGGGGAAGCUAAGACAGGAAGAUGAAGGAAAAAAGGACCAUUUGCAACCAUAUAUAAGGAAAGGGCAUUUAUAAAUCAGAAUAAUUUCUAAUUGUUAAAAUAAUCACUAUGCUCACACAUUCUAUUUAACCUUCCUCUUUUAGCUGGAUCUACUGUGGGGCUUUUAUAGAAAGCAAUACUUUGAGGGUAAUUUAGCCACUUUGAAAAAAGAUAGAAAAGACUUUUUAGCACUGAGAAGUGUUCAUUCCUGAGAAAAGAAAGACAAAGAAUGGCUUAAUCACUGACUGUCAAAUAAAUGAAGGCCUAUCAACUGGAGAGAAACUGUUAGAUAAAAGAGAGAGAGAACUAAAACAAAAGAUCCACCCUAGAAGGAAGCACCAUUUUGAUUCUAAAGAUUGUGGGAGUCUCUUGGG